rnacentral:rRNA from 1 species
UGCUAUACAUGCAGUCGAGCGGACCGACGGGAGCUUGCUCCCUUAGGUCAGCGGCGGACGGGUGAGUAACACGUGGGUAACCUGCCUGUAAGACUGGGAUAACUCCGGGAAACCGGGGCUAAUACCGGAUGCUUGAUUGAACCGCAUGGUUCAAUCAUAAAAGGUGGCUUUUAGCUACCACUUACAGAUGGACCCGCGGCGCAUUAGCUAGUUGGUGAGGUAACGGCUCACCAAGGCGACGAUGCGUAGCCGACCUGAGAGGGUGAUCGGCCACACUGGGACUGAGACACGGCCCAGACUCCUACGGGAGGCAGCAGUAGGGAAUCUUCCGCAAUGGACGAAAGUCUGACGGAGCAACGCCGCGUGAGUGAUGAAGGUUUUCGGAUCGUAAAACUCUGUUGUUAGGGAAGAACAAGUACCGUUCGAAUAGGGCGGUACCUUGACGGUACCUAACCAGAAAGCCACGGCUAACUACGUGCCAGCAGCCGCGGUAAUACGUAGGUGGCAAGCGUUGUCCGGAAUUAUUGGGCGUAAAGCGCGCGCAGGCGGUUUCUUAAGUCUGAUGUGAAAGCCCCCGGCUCAACCGGGGAGGGUCAUUGGAAACUGGGGAACUUGAGUGCAGAAGAGGAGAGUGGAAUUCCACGUGUAGCGGUGAAAUGCGUAGAGAUGUGGAGGAACACCAGUGGCGAAGGCGACUCUCUGGUCUGUAACUGACGCUGAGGCGCGAAAGCGUGGGGAGCGAACAGGAUUAGAUACCCUGGUAGUCCACGCCGUAAACGAUGAGUGCUAAGUGUUAGAGGGUUUCCGCCCUUUAGUGCUGCAGCAAACGCAUUAAGCACUCCGCCUGGGGGAGUACGGUCGCAAGACUGAAACUCAA